rnacentral:rRNA from 1 species
UGAGGAAUAUUGGUCAAUGGAGGCAACUCUGAACCAGCCAUGCCGCGUGCAGGAAGACGGUCCUAUGGAUUGUAAACUGCUUUUAUUUAGGAAUAAACCCCCGGUCGUGCACCGGGGCUGAAUGUACUAAAAGAAUAAGCACCGGCUAACUCCGUGCCAGCAGCCGCGGUAAUACGGAGGGUGCAAGCGUUAUCCGGAAUCAUUGGGUUUAAAGGGUCCGCAGGCGGGUAAAUAAGUCAGAGGUGAAAUCCGGCAGCUCAACUGUCGCACUGCCUUUGAUACUGUUUAUCUUGAAUUUUAGUGGAGUGGGCGGAAUAUGUCAUGUAGCGGUGAAAUGCUUAGAUAUGACGUGGAACACCGAUAGCGAAGGCAGCUCACUAACUAUGAAUUGACGCUCAUGGACGAAAGCGUGGGUAGCAAACA